rnacentral:rRNA from 1 species
UACGUAGGGGGCAAGCGUUGUCCGGAAUCAUUGGGCGUAAAGCGCGUGUAGGCGGCUCGGUAAGUCCGCUCUGAAAGUCCAGGGCUCAACCCUGGGAUGCGGGUGGAUACUGCCGGGCUUGAGUCCGGAAGAGGCGAGUGGAAUUCCCGGUGUAGCGGUGAAAUGCGCAGAUAUCGGGAGGAACACCAAUGGCGAAGGCAGCUCGCUGGGACGUGACUGACGCUGAGACGCGAAAGCGUGGGGAGCAAACAGG